rnacentral:rRNA from 1 species
UGCAGUCGAGCGGGGAUAGGGUGCUUGCACCUGAUUCCUAGCGGCGGACGGGUGAGUAAUGCUUAGGAAUCUGCCUAUUAGUGGGGGACAACGUUCCGAAAGGGACGCUAAUACCGCAUACGUCCUACGGGAGAAAGCAGGGGAUCUUCGGACCUUGCGCUAAUAGAUGAGCCUAAGUCGGAUUAGCUAGUUGGUGGGGUAAAGGCCUACCAAGGCGACGAUCUGUAGCGGGUCUGAGAGGAUGAUCCGCCACACUGGGACUGAGACACGGCCCAGACUCCUACGGGAGGCAGCAGUGGGGAAUAUUGGACAAUGGGGGGAACCCUGAUCCAGCCAUGCCGCGUGUGUGAAGAAGGCCUUUUGGUUGUAAAGCACUUUAAGCGAGGAGGAGGCUUACCUGGUUAAUACCUGGGAUAAGUGGACGUUACUCGCAGAAUAAGCACCGGCUAACUCUGUGCCAGCAGCCGCGGUAAUACAGAGGGUGCAAGCGUUAAUCGGAUUUACUGGGCGUAAAGCGCGCGUAGGUGGCUAAUUAAGUCAAAUGUGAAAUCCCCGAGCUUAACUUGGGAAUUGCAUUCGAUACUGGUUAGCUAGAGUAUGGGAGAGGAUGGUAGAAUUCCAGGUGUAGCGGUGAAAUGCGUAGAGAUCUGGAGGAAUACCGAUGGCGAAGGCAGCCAUCU